CCAGAGAACUCUAGAGUCCGGCCGGAAUACUGCUAAAAGUAUCAAGCACUUUGUGCUAUUAAGUUAUCCACCAUUAGAUAUAUUCUUUGAUCAAUUCCACCCCUUAGAUCAUACUAUUCUAUCAACUACACACUAAACUUUAGGAAAUCACUACCAUUUCAAUUCUAUAAUUGUUCGUCUAAGUAUUAAAAUUUAGUAGUAAAAAGACUCAAAUACUAUUAAAAGUAU
rnacentral:lncRNA from 1 species